AUGAACGCUAGCUACAGGCUUAACACAUGCAAGUCGAGGGGCAUCAGGAAGAAAGCUUGCUUUCUUUGCUGGCGACCGGCGCACGGGUGAGUAACACGUAUCCAACCUGCCCUUUACUCGGGGAUAGCCUUUCGAAAGAAAGAUUAAUACCCGAUGGCAUAAUGAUUCCGCAUGGUUUCAUUAUUAAAGGAUUCCGGUAAAGGAUGGGGAUGCGUUCCAUUAGGUUGUUGGUGAGGUAACGGCUCACCAAGCCUUCGAUGGAUAGGGGUUCUGAGAGGAAGGUCCCCCACAUUGGAACUGAGACACGGUCCAAACUCCUACGGGAGGCAGCAGUGAGGAAUAUUGGUCAAUGGGCGCUAGCCUGAACCAGCCAAGUAGCGUGAAGGAUGAAGGCUCUAUGGGUCGUAAACUUCUUUUAUAUAAGAAUAAAGUGCAGUAUGUAUACUGUUUUGUAUGUAUUAUAUGAAUAAGGAUCGGCUAACUCCGUGCCAGCAGCCGCGGUAAUACGGAGGAUCCGAGCGUUAUCCGGAUUUAUUGGGUUUAAAGGGAGCGUAGGUGGACUGGUAAGUCAGUUGUGAAAGUUUGCGGCUCAACCGUAAAAUUGCAGUUGAUACUGUCAGUCUUGAGUACAGUAGAGGUGGGCGGAAUUCGUGGUGUAGCGGUGAAAUGCUUAGAUAUCACGAAGAACUCCGAUUGCGAAGGCAGCUCACUGGACUGCAACUGACACUGAUGCUCGAAAGUGUGGGUAUCAAACAGGAUUAGAUACCCUGGUAGUCCACACAGUAAACGAUGAAUACUCGCUGUUUGCGAUAUACAGUAAGCGGCCAAGCGAAAGCAUUAAGUAUUCCACCUGGGGAGUACGCCGGCAACGGUGAAACUCAAAGGAAUUGACGGGGGCCCGCACAAGCGGAGGAACAUGUGGUUUAAUUCGAUGAUACGCGAGGAACCUUACCCGGGCUUAAAUUGCAGUGGAAUGAUGUGGAAACAUGUCAGUGAGCAAUCACCGCUGUGAAGGUGCUGCAUGGUUGUCGUCAGCUCGUGCCGUGAGGUGUCGGCUUAAGUGCCAUAACGAGCGCAACCCUUAUCUUCAGUUACUAACAGGUCAUGCUGAGGACUCUGGAGAGACUGCCGUCGUAAGAUGUGAGGAAGGUGGGGAUGACGUCAAAUCAGCACGGCCCUUACGUCCGGGGCUACACACGUGUUACAAUGGGGGGUACAGAAGGCAGCUAGCGGGUGACCGUAUGCUAAUCCCAAAAUCCUCUCUCAGUUCGGAUCGAAGUCUGCAACCCGACUUCGUGAAGCUGGAUUCGCUAGUAAUCGCGCAUCAGCCACGGCGCGGUGAAUACGUUCCCGGGCCUUGUACACACCGCCCGUCAAGCCAUGGGAGCCGGGGGUACCUGAAGUACGUAACCGCAAGGAUCGUCCUAGGGUAAAACUGGUGACUGGGGCU
rnacentral:rRNA from 1 species